UUCCCAAAAUUCUUUUCGUAAUAAAUUUCCACCACUUUUUCAUCCUAAUAUUAGUUUAUAGGAUCUCAUAAAAUAAGGCAUAAAAGUAAUUUACUUAUAUAUAUUUAAUAAAUGUGUUAAAAAGGAAAAUAAAGCCCAUAUUAUUGCUGGCCUCUUCUCUUAUCCUCUCUUGGAGCUCGGGCCCUCUUCACGAGCACUUCCUGUUACUACUCUCUGCUCUAUCUCACAACUUCCAAAAACAAAAAAAUUAUUCAGAAUUAAAAAAAAAAGAAAAAAUCAGUCCCCAAAAAUCUGAUAGUUGAUGCAGAAACCAAGCAAAAAAUUCAGACCUUUUUCUUCAUUAAACUCCCCCAUUCAUCAUCCAACUUUCUUGAAAACCAUUUCCUUGUUAAAAUUCAGCACUUGUCACACAGACCCAAUAAUCUGAAAAAAGAAAAAAAGAAACCCCAUUAGAGAAAACCCCAAGAAAAUGAAGAGAGAUCGUGAUAGAGAAAAUUCCCAAGAUGGUUCUUCUUCUGGUAAAUCUAAGAUUUUUGAAGAAGAACAACCAGAUGCUGGAAUGGACGAGCUUUUAGCUGUUCUGGGUUAUAAAGUUAAAUCUUCAGAUAUGGCUGAAGUUGCACAAAAACUUGAACAACUU
rnacentral:lncRNA from 1 species